GUGAGAGUCAAUUGUUUGCCAUCCCUUAGUGUGCUGGCACAGUGUUGCUCUGACCUCUGAAAACUGCCACCUAGCCCUGGUGUUUUUGAUGCUGAAUGUGUAAGUUAUUGUUGCCCUUUGCAGCAUGACGAUAGAACUAAAGGUCCAAAUAACUCAUGAUACUGAUACAGGAGUUAACAUUUAUUGUUUACUAUGCACUGGACAUUGUUUUAAAAUUUUACAGGUAAUAUAGAAUUUAACACCUAUAAUUUGGAGGCAGCCUGAAUACCUAUACUUAUUUUCCCUCAUUUCUGUAAACUUAUUGUAAUGAGGGCAGAGAGAUAGUUUUUUUAAAAAGGGAGACAAACUGUAAGAGACUUUUAAUCAUAGGAAACAAACAGAGUUGCUGGAGGGGAGGGGGUGGGGGAUGGGGUAAUUGGGUGAUGGGCAUUAAAGAAGGCACGUGAUGUAAUGAGUACUGGGUGUUACAUAAGACUGAUGAAUCCCUGACCUUUACCUCUGAAACUAACAAUAUACUAUAUGUUAAUUAAUUGAAUUUAAAUUUUAAAAAAUUAAAAAAUAAAAAUAAAUAAAUUUUUAAAAAGAUAUAAAUCAGAGAUUGAAAACUGGCAAACCAAGAACUGGAUCUUGCCAGUGGACAUAUUUUGAUUGGCCUUUAGAAUAUUUGGAAAAAUAUUAUUUCCUGACAUUUAAAAACUAUUUCUCAUAAAAGUUAAUACUUCUGUCAAGUCUGAAAAAUCAUAGAUUUUACGACACAUAUUUUUUUCUCACAACAGGCUGGUGGAUAGAUAAUGGUCACCAUUUCAAACGAAUGACAAGUCUUCAACAGCCUGCUACACGGAGUUGUUUUAUCUUCUUGGCCCUGGUGGUCAUUUGUUUUUAUAAUUCCUUAUUUAAAAAAUUCUGUAACAGCAAAGGGAGUGGGAGAGAGCAUCAAUGAAUGUGAAAUUUCAACAUAUUCUGGAAGACUGAAACCCCAUGAGGAUUGGACUUUUGCUCACAACUGUCCGGGGCCAGGACUAGGUGAUAAGCAAACUCCACAUGGACCCUGGAGCCACAAGCUUUCUCUCUUGAGCUCCUAA
rnacentral:lncRNA from 12 species